rnacentral:rRNA from 1 species
GAAUAUUGGACAAUGGGGGGAACCCUGAUCCAGCCAUGCCGCGUGUGUGAAGAAGGCCUUUGGUUGGUAAAGCACUUUAAGCGAGGAGGAGGCCACGUAGAUUAAUACUCUAGGAUAGUGGACGUUACUCGCAGAAUACGCACCAGCUCACUCUGUGCCAGCAGCCGCGGUAAUACAGAGGGUGCAAGCGUUAAUCGGAUUUACUGGGCGUAAAGCGCGCGUAGGUGGCCAAUUAAGUCAAAUGUGAAAUCCCCGAGCUUAACUUGGGAAUUGCAUUCGAUACUGGUUGGCUAGAGUAUGGGAGAGGAUGGUAGAAUUCCAGGUGUAGCGGUGAAAUGCGUAGAGAUCUGGAGGAAUACCGAUGGCGAAGGCAGCCAUCUGGCCUAAUACUGACACUGAGGUGCGAAAGCAUGGGGAGCAAACA